rnacentral:rRNA from 1 species
UCAUUUUUGAGGAUUUGAUCCUGGUCCAGGAUGAACGCUGGCGGUGUGGAUAAGGCAUGCAAGUCGAACGGUGUCUGUGCGGCACAUAACUCGCAAUAUAAUUAUUGCUGGUUGUGUGCUGUACAUACAUAGUGGCGAACGAGUUAGUAACACCUUGGUACGUACCCCAAAGUCGGGCAUAGCUUCGCGAAAGCGAAGGUAAUUCCCGAUGGUCCCGCAAGGGUAAAGUCGCAAGACGCUUUGGGAGCGGCCUAGGUCCUAUCAGCUUGUUGGUGAGGUAAGAGCUCACCAAGGCUACGACGGGUAGGGGAUGUGAGAGCAUGUUCCCCAACGACGAGACUGAGACACGGCUCGUACUCCUACGGGAGGCAGCAGUCGAGAAUAUUCCACAAUGGGCGAAAGCCUGAUGGAGCGACACCGCGUGCAGGAUGAAGGGCUUCGGUCCGUAAACUGCUUUUCAUGGGGAAAAACUACGGUGAUGGUACCCAUGGAAUAAGGGGCUGCAAACCUCGUGCCAGCAGCCGCGGUAAUACGAGGGCCCCGAGCGUUAUCCGGAUUUAUUGGGCGUAAAGAGCGCGUAGGGGGCUUAUCGCAUCUUCGGUUAAAUACCACUGCUCAACGGUGGCACCGCCGAAGAGAUGGACAAGCUAGAGGAUGCCAGAGGUUAACGGAACGCAUGGUGUAGGGGUGAAAUCCGUUGAUAUCAUGCGGAACACCGAAGGCGAAGGCAGUUAACUGGGGCACUCCUGACCCUCAGUGCGCGAAAGCGUGGGGAGCAAAAAGGAUUAGAUACCCUUGUAGUCCACGCCCUAAACGAUGCAGACUAGCUGUUUCGAGUAUCGACCCUCGGAGUGGCGUAGCUAACGCGUUAAGUCUGCCGCCUGGGAAGUACGGCCGCAAGGCUAAAACUCAAAGGAAUAGACGGGGACCCGCACAAGCGGUGGAACAUGAGGUUUAAUUCGACGACAAGCGAGGAACCUUACCCGGGCUUGAAAUUCUCACGAAAGCUUUCCGAAAGGAAAGCCCUCUCUCAAGGACGUGAGGACAGGUGCUGCAUGGUUGUCGUCAGCAUGUGACUUGAGUCGCUCCCUUAAAUGGGGUAACAUGCGCAACCCCUAUCCGUAGUUACAAGUGUCUACGGAGACUGCCCAGCCCAAUGCGCACGAGGUGCGCAGUAACUAGUCGCUAUUUAUUAGCCACUAGAAACUGCUCGCUUCGCGAGUAUCGGGCUGGGAGGAAGGCGGGGAUGACGUCAAAUCAGCAUGGCCCUUUGAUGUCCGGGGCUACACUCAUGUUACAAUGGCCGCUACAGAGGGUUGCCAAGCCGAAAGGUGGAGCUAAUCCCAAAAAAGUGGUCUCAGUUCGGAUUGGGGGCUGCAACUCGCCCCCAUGAAGCCGGAAUCGCUAGUAAUCGCGCAUCAGCUACGGCGCGGUGAAUACGUUCUCGGGUCCUGUACUCACUGCCCGUCAACUCAGGGAAGCCGGGAGCUAGAGAAGCCUCACGCAGUGGGGUCAUCUAGAAUUCGGUGACAAGGAGUAAGUCGUAACAAGGCACGGGUAGCGGAAGCUGC